ensembl:lncRNA
CUCUAACAUACCAUGACAAGCACCAGUCACUUUGUGCAGGAUUGGUCUGCUCACUACCUCAUUCACCAUGGAACUGACGUCAUUCUACCACCUCAUCAGUCAGUUUAAUAAAAUAACUGCUCUGAGCCCUUUGUCACUUUGUCACUUUUAAUCAGACUGAAUAAGCUAUUUUUUUAUGCACUAAAAAUCUUUUUAUCUGCACUGUUUGUUCACUGGUUUGCACUCUAUCUGCCAUGUGCCUUGCGCUGCUUUUAUUUAACCUUAUUUUUAUUUUAUUUUUUCUAUUAUGUCUUUUUUUACAUUCCCUUAUUGUAUAGUUUUAUCUUAUAUUUUAUAUUUGAUCUAGAUUUUUAGGCUCUACUGUUAGUGUUAUCUGUAUGCACCGGGGGUCUGAGAGUAACGCAAUUUCGAUUCUCUGUAUGUAUGUACUGUACAUGUGGAAGAAUUGACAAUAAAGCAGACUUGACUUGACUUGAAAUACAUAAUUGUGUGUGUUCAGAGUCUGACAGUGUGUGUGUAUACAAAUGAUGGAAUAGAAUAUGAAACAGGAAGCUGAGAACUCUGUUUCCUGCUGUGCCACAGGAGCUCCUGGUGAAGGCAGAACUGGAAGUCCAGGUUCAUCUGGUCGCCCCGGUAACCCAGGCAGUCCCGGCAGACCCGGGAUUCCAGGACCAGAUGGUCCGCCCGGCCCGCCCGGAUACUGCGACCAGGACGCCUGCCUCGGCUACAACGUGGAAGAGCCGGGCGUCGAUGCUGACCUCACUGACACAGAUGUUCCUGUAGUUCAACCCAGCUCCUACCAACCGUACGGCCCCGAGGCCGAGGACGAAGACCCCUACGGCUCCUACACCUCCUACUACCCAAGCAACUACCCUCCGCCUCCGCCCGUGCAGCCUGACGACCCUGUCAUAGAGCAGGGAGUGGAGGAGCUGCGCUCGCCCGCCAUGCAGCGGCACAUACGCAUACGCUAGACGCACCAGUUAUUACAGGAUAGCGACGAUGAUGAUUGGACUCUGCUUAUUCGUGCCUAUACGUUCAAUUCAAGAUGAUUUCUAUUAGCAGACCAGAUGAAAUUAAUCUUAUUUAUAUGCAUAUCAAAUACAUGUCAUUACAAAAGUAUUUAACAUUUUAAAAUGCUGUCCUGUUUUUGCUGUUCAGCACAGUGUUUGUCUGCGACCGUUAGAUCUGACUCAGUGUCUGUCCGACUGAAUUAAUGUUCACUUCUGUUUGUUUUUUUAGAAGAUGUGUUGAAUAUUUGUGAUGUAUUCACAGUGAGGAAGGAAUAAGUGCUUUGUUGUAGUUAUUUAGGCUAUUUAAGUUUCUAAAGAAAGCAGCAGUAGGUGUGUUUUGUCUGAAUGAUGAACAGAUUCGUUCUGAUUGAAUCAGUUCACUUUCUUGAAUCGUUUCUUUCCAUCAGUGUGAUUCACUUGCAGAUCCAGUGGUUUGUUUGCGUCACUCACUGCAUGGGGUUUGAUGCUUGAAAUAUAGCUGUUAGUAAUAUGAUUACAUAUAAAUCAGUACUAUGGAGAAUAUUUUAUAUCAAACACAUAUUAUCAGUAUAUUUUGAUCUGUAUGUAAGCUGCUCUUUCUGUUCUGACUCUGCCUGUAUAAAUGACUGAUUGUCUGAUUGUGAGAUCAGAUGUUCAUAAGCUCUGAUUCUCUGAUCUGUUCAGCUCAAAGUGCCUCUUUAUAUUGGCUGAUUUGUAGGAAUAUAAAUAAGACUCGUCCAGCCUUUCAAUCAUGCGGUUCUUCUGCCGUUACUCGUCUCUGUAUCUCAUUUCUCAAGCAGUUGUUGUUUUAUCUUCAGUUAUUUAUUUUAUCUCUAGUAUUUCUAUAUUUUUCAGUAUUCAGCAUGUUUUGAUCUAUCUUGUUAAACCAUUGUUUACAGUCAUUUCAUAUGUGACAUGUUUCUAGGUUUUAUGUAAUGCUAUAUUGUGAUGAUCAGAUGAAUUAUCAUGCAGUAUUUGUGUGGUUGAGAAUGUCAGCCUUGCUGUCAAAGGAUUUAAUAAAAAAAUAUAUAUUUAAAGAAAAAGUUUUUGC